rnacentral:rRNA from 1 species
GGUUAAGCGACUAAGCGUACACGGUGGAUGCCCUGGCAGUCAGAGGCGAUGAAGGACGUGCUAAUCUGCGAAAAGCGUCGGUAAGGUGAUAUGAACCGUUAUAGCCGGCGAUGUCCGAAUGGGGAAACCCAGUGCAAUUCGUUGCACUAUCGUUAACUGAAUACAUAGGUUAACGAGGCGAACCGGGGGAACUGAAACAUCUAAGUACCCCGAGGAAAAGAAAUCAACCGAGAUUCCCCCAGUAGCGGCGAGCGAACGGGGAGCAGCCCAGAGUCUGAAUCAGCUUGUGUGUUAGUGGAACGGUCUGGAAAGUCCGACGGUACAGGGUGAUAGUCCCGUACACCAAAAUGCACAGGCUGUGAACUCGAAGAGUAGGGCGGGACACGUGGUAUCCUGUCUGAAUAUGGGGGGACCAUCCUCCAAGGCUAAAUACUCCUGACUGACCGAUAGUGAACCAGUACCGUGAGGGAAAGGCGAAAAGAACCCCGGCGAGGGGAGUGAAAAAGAACCUGAAACCGUGUACGUACAAGCAGUGGGAGCACCUUCGGGUGUGACUGCGUACCUUUUGUAUAAUGGGUCAGCGACUUAUAUUCUGUAGCAAGGUUAACCGUAUAGGGGAGCCGCAGGGAAACCGAGUCUUAACUGGGCGUUAAGUUGCAGGGUAUAGACCCGAAACCCGGUGAUCUAGCCAUGGGCAGGUUGAAGGUUGGGUAACACUAACUGGAGGACCGAACCGACUAAUGUUGAAAAAUUAGCGGAUGACUUGUGGCUGGGGGUGAAAGGCCAAUCAAACCGGGAGAUAGCUGGUUCUCCCCGAAAGCUAUUUAGGUAGCGCCUCGUGAAUUCAUCUUCGGGGGUAGAGCACUGUUUCGGCUAGGGGGUCAUCCCGACUUACCAACCCGAUGCAAACUACGAAUACCGAAGAAUGUUAUCACGGGAGACACACGGCGGGUGCUAACGUCCGUCGUGAAGAGGGAAACAACCCAGACCGCCAGCUAAGGUCCCAAAGUCAUGGUUAAGUGGGAAACGAUGUGGGAAGGCACAGACAGCCAGGAUGUUGGCUUAGAAGCAGCCAUCAUUUAAAGAAAGCGUAAUAGCUCACUGGUCGAGUCGGCCUGCGCGGAAGAUGUAACGGGGCUAAACCAUGCACCGAAGCUGCGGCAGCGACACUAUGUGUUGUUGGGUAGGGGAGCGUUCUGUAAGCCUGCGAAGGUGUGCUGUGAGGCAUGCUGGAGGUAUCAGAAGUGCGAAUGCUGACAUAAGUAACGAUAAAGCGGGUGAAAAGCCCGCUCGCCGGAAGACCAAGGGUUCCUGUCCAACGUUAAUCGGGGCAGGGUGAGUCGACCCCUAAGGCGAGGCCGAAAGGCGUAGUCGAUGGGAAACAGGUUAAUAUUCCUGUACUUGGUGUUACUGCGAAGGGGGGACGGAGAAGGCUAUGUUAGCCGGGCGACGGUUGUCCCGGUUUAAGCAUGUAGGCUGAUUGUCCAGGCAAAUCCGGAUAAUCAAGGCUGAGGUGUGAUGACGAGGCACUACGGUGCUGAAGUAACAAAUGCCCUGCUUCCAGGAAAAGCCUCUAAGCAUCAGGUAACAUUAAAUCGUACCCCAAACCGACACAGGUGGUCAGGUAGAGAAUACCAAGGCGCUUGAGAGAACUCGGGUGAAGGAACUAGGCAAAAUGGUGCCGUAACUUCGGGAGAAGGCACGCUGGUGUGUAGGUGAAGCCCCUGCGGGUGGAGCUGAGACCAGUCGAAGAUACCAGCUGGCUGCAACUGUUUAUUAAAAACACAGCACUGUGCAAACACGAAAGUGGACGUAUACGGUGUGACGCCUGCCCGGUGCCGGAAGGUUAAUUGAUGGGGUUAUCCGUAAGGAGAAGCUCUUGAUCGAAGCCCCGGUAAACGGCGGCCGUAACUAUAACGGUCCUAAGGUAGCGAAAUUCCUUGUCGGGUAAGUUCCGACCUGCACGAAUGGCGUAAUGAUGGCCAGGCUGUCUCCACCCGAGACUCAGUGAAAUUGAACUCGCUGUGAAGAUGCAGUGUACCCGCGGCAAGACGGAAAGACCCCGUGAACCUUUACUAUAGCUUGACACUGAACAUUGAGCCUUGAUGUGUAGGAUAGGUGGGAGGCUUUGAAGCGUGGACGCCAGUCUGCGUGGAGCCAACCUUGAAAUACCACCCUUUAAUGUUUGAUGUUCUAACGUUGGCCCCUGACCGGGGUUGCGGACAGUGUCUGGUGGGUAGUUUGACUGGGGCGGUCUCCUCCCAAAGCGUAACGGAGGAGCACGAAGGUUAGCUAAUCCUGGUCGGACAUCAGGAGGUUAGUGCAAUGGCAUAAGCUAGCUUGACUGCGAGCGUGACGGCGCGAGCAGGUGCGAAAGCAGGUCAUAGUGAUCCGGUGGUUCUGAAUGGAAGGGCCAUCGCUCAACGGAUAAAAGGUACUCCGGGGAUAACAGGCUGAUACCGCCCAAGAGUUCAUAUCGACGGCGGUGUUUGGCACCUCGAUGUCGGCUCAUCACAUCCUGGGGCUGAAGUAGGUCCCAAGGGUAUGGCUGUUCGCCAUUUAAAGUGGUACGCGAGCUGGGUUUAGAACGUCGUGAGACAGUUCGGUCCCUAUCUGCCGUGGGCGCUGGAGAAUUGAGGGGGGCUGCUCCUAGUACGAGAGGACCGGAGUGGACGCAUCACUGGUGUUCGGGUUGUCAUGCCAAUGGCACUGCCCGGUAGCUAAAUGCGGAAGAGAUAAGUGCUGAAAGCAUCUAAGCACGAAACUUGCCCCGAGAUGAGUUCUCCCUGAGACUUUAAGUCUCCUGAAGGAACGUUAAAGACGAUGACGUUGAUAGGCCGGGUGUGUAAGCGCAGCGAUGCGUUGAGCUAACCGGUACUAAUGAACCGUGAGGCUUAACCUU